GACGAACGCUGGCGGCGUGCUUAACACAUGCAAGUCCAACGGAAAGGCCCUGCUUUUGUGGGGUGCUCGAGUGGCGAACGGGAGAGUAACACGUGAGUAACCUGCCCUUGACUUUGGGAUAACUUCAGGAAACUGGGGCUAAUACCGGAUAGGAGCUCCUGCUGCAUGGUGGGGGUUGGAAAGUUUCGGCGGUUGGGGAUGGACUCGCGGCUUAUCAGCCUGUUGGUGGGGUAGUGGCUUACCAAGGCUUUGACGGGUAGCCGGCCUGAGAGGGUGACCGGCUACAGUGCGACUGAGAUACGGCCCCGACUCCUACGGGAGGCAGCAGUGGAGAAUAUUGCACAAUGGGCGGACGCCUGAGGCAGCAAUGGCGCGUGCGGGAUAAAGGCCUUGGGGUUGUACACCGCUUAAGCCUCUGACGACGGGUGGGUGACGAUAAUGGGUAAGGAAGCACAGGCUAACUACGUG
rnacentral:rRNA from 1 species